AUGGCGGAGGCGGGACAGUCGACGGUGUUCGCGGGCGUUGGUGGUGCUCGUCGGAGCGGAGCGGCGUCGCCGGAACGCGUGCGGGUCGAAGGUGGCAACUGCUUACCCAUUGCAUUUUACAUUUUCGCCAUUAACAAUUUGGUCUGUUCCUACAUCAGCAGAAUGGCUCGUGGCGAUCAUCAAAGUGAUGAUGACGAUUUCAUGGAUCCACCUCAACGUAACCAGGCAACUGGACGGAGAAAAGAGGGCGAUGAGAAGAAGAAACGUAUUCGCAACAGAGCCUCCCAGGAACGUCUGACCGUGUUGAUUGACAAAUUCACUGACGAUCAAAAGGGAGCUGCUGCUGAGAUGGGUAUGCAGGUUCUGAUGGAUGUCCGGUGUACGAACCUUGUCAACCCGGUAUGCGAUUGGCUUGGUGAGAUAUACGAUCCCGCCUCCAGGGAAUUCGUGAUCCCGGGACGGGGAAGACUUCCAUUGAAUGAGGAAUCCGUGUUCUGCACUUUGGGUGUGCCUCGGGGACAUAUCAAAGUCCCGUACGAGGUUAAUAAUGAGAUCGAGGAAGAGCUGUUCGCCCGUUUGUUUCCUGGCUUGGAGGCAAUGUCGAACACGUCUGUACUGGCAGAUUCUCUGUAG
rnacentral:rRNA from 1 species